UACGUAGGGGGCUAGCGUUGUCCGGAAUCAUUGGGCGUAAAGAGCGCGUAGGCGGCCCUGUAAGUCCGCUGUGAAAGUCAAGGGCUCAACCCUUGGAUGCCGGUGGAUACUGCAGGGCUAGAGUCCGGAAGAGGAGAGUGGAAUUCCUGGUGUAGCGGUGAAAUGCGCAGAUAUCAGGAGGAACACCCGUGGCGAAAGCGGCUCUCUGGGACGGUACUGACGCUGAGACGCGAAAGCGUGGGGAGCAAACAGG
rnacentral:rRNA from 1 species